AGCCUGGUUGCCCGCCUGCUCCCUUUAGACUAUGGCCCCAUGUUGAAAUGCUUGAUUUUCCCCUGCAAAGACACGAAAGCCGGGUCAUUCGGUGCUUGCCCCGUUUGAGCGGUGAUACCCCAGAUAGCUAUGCCAUGGAGCCCAUUCGUAUAAUGAAAGACUAUGGGAAAGACUUUGGCUCCAUGGCAAUUGAACUGUAUGUGUGUGAUUCUGAAAAUGUAAGUUAUAUUUGAAUGUGAUGCAUACUUUUAGAAUUAUGAAUAAUGUGGAAAAACUGUAUUUCUCUGCCUGUGAUAAUUACAUUACCCAUUGUGUAAGGUAAUUGUAUCACAGGCAGAGGGGAGGAUUUUGUUUUGGA